AUAAUAACAAUAGAACAUAUGGGUACUUAUUAAUCUCAGUUAGGAUUUAUGUAAUGUCGAAGUGCCAAUCCUGACUCUAAAAAUUGUGUGGGCAUUGGGCAGUCGUACAGGGGUUCGGAGAGGACAAUGUACUCAGAUUCUACGGUACUGCGCAAAAAUUACUUAACGACAGAUAGCCUAAAGUGAAGAGCCCUCGUCUUCGAAGAUGUCCGGAUCCAAAGCAAUGCGUCUAUUGUCAUCUACGGGCAAUGCAGCAGGAUAGUAUGUUAGGACAGAAAAGAGUAAACCAGGGAGGGAUUAAGGACUAUGACUAAUGUUAUAUAUUAUGAGAAACUCACGCUUUUAUGCCUAAAGAGGUAGGAAGUAGCACCACUUAUGUACCUAUACAUACUCUUUUACAUAGAUAAUCCCUUUACUAGUGUAACUCUCGCAUAUUAUCGCAUGAUAAUUUGUUUGCCAUCUUAAUACUGGAAACAUACAAUAUUUCUAACAAAUAUUGACAUAAUUCCAUAAUUGAUCAGUACAUCAGCUACACUAAAUUCUUUAAGAAUAAAGAAAAUAUAAACAAAGAUUUUUUCUAAUAGUUUUUUUU